rnacentral:rRNA from 1 species
GAUGAACGCUGGCGGCGUGCCUAAUACAUGCAAGUCGAGCGAACAGACGAGGAGCUUGCUCCUCUGACGUUAGCGGCGGACGGGUGAGUAACACGUGGAUAACCUACCUAUAAGACUGGGAUAACUUCGGGAAACCGGAGCUAAUACCGGAUAAUAUAUUGAACCGCAUGGUUCAAUAGUGAAAGACGGUUUUGCUGUCACUUAUAGAUGGAUCCGCGCCGCAUUAGCUAGUUGGUAAGGUAACGGCUUACCAAGGCAACGAUGCGUAGCCGACCUGAGAGGGUGAUCGGCCACACUGGAACUGAGACACGGUCCAGACUCCUACGGGAGGCAGCAGUAGGGAAUCUUCCGCAAUGGGCGAAAGCCUGACGGAGCAACGCCGCGUGAGUGAUGAAGGUCUUCGGAUCGUAAAACUCUGUUAUUAGGGAAGAACAAAUGUGUAAGUAGCUAUGCACGUCUUGACGGUACCUAAUCGGAAAGCCACGGCUAACUACGUG